rnacentral:rRNA from 1 species
GACGAACGCUGGCGGCGUGCCUAAUACAUGCAAGUUGAGCGAUGAAGAUUGGUGCUUGCCCCAAUUUGAAGAGCAGCGAACGGGUGAGUAACGCGUGGGGAAUCUGCCUUUGAGCGGGGGACAACAUUUGGAAACGAAUGCUAAUACCGCAUAAUAACUUUAAACAUAAGUUUUAAGUUUGAAAGAUGCAAUUGCAUCACUCAAAGAUGAUCCCGCGUUGUAUUAGCUAGUUGGUGAGGUAAAGGCUCACCAAGGCGAUGAUACAUAGCCGACCUGAGAGGGUGAUCGGCCACAUUGGGACUGAGACACGGCCCAAACUCCUACGGGAGGCAGCAGUAGGGAAUCUUCGGCAAUGGACGAAAGUCUGACCGAGCAACGCCGCGUGAGUGAAGAAGGUUGUCGGAUCGUAAAACUCUGUUGGUAGAGAAGAACGUUGGUGAGAGUGGAAAGCUCAUCAAGUGACGGUAACUACCCAGAAAGGGACGGCUAACUACGUG